rnacentral:rRNA from 1 species
GGAUUAGAUACCCUGGUAGUCCACGCCGUAAACGAUGUCUACUAGCCGUUGGGAUACUUGAUAUCUUAGUGGCGCAGCUAACGCACUAAGUAGACCGCCUGGGGAGUACGGCCGCAAGGUUAAAACUCAAAUGAAUUGACGGGGGCCCGCACAAGCGGUGGAGCAUGUGGUUUAAUUCGAUGCAACGCGAAGAACCUUACCAGGCCUUGACAUCCUGAGAACUUUCUAGAGAUAGAUUGGUGCCUUCGGGAACUCAGUGACAGGUGCUGCAUGGCUGUCGUCAGCUCGUGCCG